UGCGUCCUACGGGAGGCAGCAGUGAGGAAUAUUGGUCAAUGGGCGCGAGCCUGAACCAGCCAAGUCGCGUGAGGGAAGACGGUCCUAUGGAUUGUAAACCUCUUUUGUCGGGGAGCAAAAGACGCCACGCGUGGCGUUCCGAGAGUACCCGAAGAAAAAGCAUCGGCUAACUCCGUGCCAGCAGCCGCGGUAAUACGGAGGAUGCGAGCGUUAUCCGGAUUUAUUGGGUUUAAAGGGUGCGCAGGCGGAAGAUCAAGUCAGCGGGAAAAUUGUGAGGCCCAACCUCUUCGAGCCGUGGAAACUGG
rnacentral:rRNA from 1 species